rnacentral:lncRNA from 1 species
UCCAAGCUUGAGCCUGCAAUUCUUGUAUCGAAUCUUGAAACCUUUUCCUUUCGACAAUCUUAAUCUCAUGCACCUCCAAAAAACCAACCAAAGCUUCCAGUUUUAAGGUUUCAAGAUUGUUGGAUUCUUGAAUAGCUACGAUAACGUGAUCAAAGUGAGAGGUCAACGAACACAUUACCUUUUCAACUAUCAUCUUAUUAGUUAGUGUUUCACCACAACCCUUUGUGAGAUGGAAGAGAUUUUGUACCUUCGAC